rnacentral:rRNA from 1 species
AUUGAACGCUGGCGGCAUGCUUUACACAUGCAAGUCGAACGGUAACAGGCCUUCGGGUGCUGACGAGUGGCGAACGGGUGAGUAAUGCAUCGGAACGUACCCAGAGGUGGGGGAUAACGCAGCGAAAGCUGUGCUAAUACCGCAUGUGAUCUGAGGAUGAAAGCGGGGGACCGAGCAGCAAUGUUUGGCCUCGCGCCAUUGGAGCGGCCGAUGUCGGAUUAGCUAGUUGGUGGGGUAAAGGCCUACCAAGGCGACGAUCCGUAGCUGGUCUGAGAGGACGACCAGCCACACUGGGACUGAGACACGGCCCAGACUCCUACGGGAGGCAGCAGUGGGGAAUUUUGGACAAUGGGCGCAAGCCUGAUCCAGCAAUGCCGCGUGCGGGAAGAAGGCCUUCGGGUUGUAAACCGCUUUUGGCAGGAACGAAACGGUGUCCGCUAAUACCGGGCGCUAAUGACGGUACCUGCAGAAUAAGCACCGGCUAACUACGUG